rnacentral:rRNA from 1 species
UACGAAGGGGGCUAGCGUUGCUCGGAAUCACUGGGCGUAAAGCGCACGUAGGCGGAUCGUUAAGUCAGGGGUGAAAUCCUGGAGCUCAACUCCAGAACUGCCUUUGAUACUGGCGACUUGUGAGUUCGGGAGAGGUGAGUGGAACUGCGGAGUGUAGAGGUGAAAUUCGUAGAUAUUACGCAAGAACACCAGUGGCGAAGGCGGACUCACUGGCCCGGUACUGGACGCUGAGGUGCGAAAGCG